GUCGUCCGCUCCUCUUCCUCCCGAGGCUUGAAUGUUUGGCGACAACGCAAACCUGCGCUCAUGCGUUUGAUGACUGGACCAUUACCCCCCUUGGACCAACCAAGCCUCCGGUUCCGGUUCUGUGUUUCUGUCUCCCAGAAGGACUUGAGAGGAGGGAGUGCAGAGCAUUAGGACCGGGCUGUUCACGUUGGCCAUUAAAUCUCGUCUGCAGGACUAAUGCACUGCUGGAGCUUUGGACGGUUGAUGAUGAAAGGAUCUUCAUCAGUGCUGAGACAUCAAAUGACUGACAAUAAUGAAGCAAUGCCAUGGAGGCUGUAGUAAACAGUAGCUGCGUCCUCCUCCUUCGAUUGAAUUGACUCUCCGCGCAGACUGAAGUCGCCCGCCUCGAUAAUGGUCGCCAUGGAAACGGCGUUCGCUGUGACAGAUGCGGGAUACGGCAAACCACAAGGGACACACACAGAUUUGGAGGCAAGCGCUGGCAAAUAGAUAGCCGAACAAAAACGAGAAUAAAGAGACAAUGCGAAGCCGCCACCAAUGGACACAUGUGUUUGUCUGAGCUGUGAACACAAAAGAACAGAUGUGCCUCGUUUUGACAGAUACCAGAUUUGAGCUGCUGAGUUAAAGCUCACACAACAACAUCCUACAGAAGCCUUUAGUUAUGAGGCUGGAGCUCGUGGUUUUAGCCACUUUGCUUCUGAACCAGCUCGCAGUUCACAACGCAGACGUGUCUCUACUUUGAGAACCAUUUGCUGCAAUGGUUAGUCGUGGUAAUACACAAUACAUUGGCCCACCAGACCGGUCCCUGGAACCUGAGCUUUACACAUCAUUGCCCAUUGAAUUUCUAAUAUGUUGCUGUUUCUGCCACCGGGUCUGGGUCUAAUUAGCGCUCAGCCUCAAGAAAACAGCCUAACAAGCGACAAACAACGUACAGAUAAUAGAGCUCCGAUAAUUUGACACGAUGUGAUGUUGGAGUCCUGUAGUUGCAUCACAGCUAAUGAUCACAGCUGAGAGCGAAGCAGAGAGUCGACUAGUUUCUGCAUGUGGACGAGACAACCAGUGCCUGCUCUCAAGCCCACAAUCCCCUGUGCAUCCUCUGAACACACACACACACAACCUGUCAGCCCCGGCCGCGGCCCAGCUAUUGAACCUGGUGUUCUGAUAACAGUAUCAACAGCCUCUCCCCUGCAGGCAGAGACGGCCUCGUUCAUAUCUGUGACGUCUGCUUGUCACUGUGGAUGGCUGUAACACACAUGGCUGUUGAACGGAGCUGCACAGCGAAUGUGAGAAAGGCUCAGAGAUGAGUUAUUUCAUUAGCAGAGCUGAUGUGUGGGCUUUCAUUUAAGGGGGGGGGGGGUUAUGUCUUAUUUCUGCAGACCAGUUUACUUACUGGUUAAUGGAACAUGCAGUGUGUUCACUGCUGCACUAGCAGAGCUGCAGUCAGCUGUUGUCCCAACUAACUGUGGUGCAUCUCACUGUGCCUCUGAGUCUCUGAUCUGAGUCUAUUUUUAUAUUCAUCAGGCGACAACUGUGUGUUUACAACUAGAUGCCACUAAGGGGGACAGAGGUGACUGUGUGUGUGUGUGAGUUGUAAAGACACACACAUCCACAAUGCAGCACUUCUGGGAUCAAUUACCGCUCAUCCACGUCUUUAUCAUCUCUUUAUCUGUUCUGAGUUUGAGUA